rnacentral:lncRNA from 13 species
UAUACUUUGGGAAGUGAGCACUCAGUUUGUUUGUUUGACCUGAUGGAGAUCCAUUUCGGAUCGAAACGUAGUCAAUAAAGUGGCGGAGCGUAAAGAGUGUACAGGCCUUCUUUGUCAUGUAUUGUCAUGUUGUGUCUUUCUGUCCUUUCCUUUCACCCUGUCUCCCUCUGCUGGUCGUUAUUAGGUUACCUUUUCUCCCCCGCUUUCCCCCAGCUGUUCCUUGUCUCCUCCUGACUACCUCGUCACCCCGUUUCCCACCUGUUCCCUUUUUCCCUCUGAUUAGUCCCCUAUAUCUCUCUCUGUUUUUGUUCCUGUCCUUGUCGGAUUCUUGUUUGUUGUGUUUCAUGCCUGAGCCAGACUAUCGUCAUGUUUGCUGUAACCGUGUCCUGUCCUGUCGGAAUCUGCCGGUCUAUCUGAGCCUACCUAUGUUUGGUUAUUAAAGAAGCUCUGUUUAAGUUAGUUCGCUUUUGGGUCCUCAUUCACUCACCGUAACAUUCUUGUUCUUUACUAGAGUUUCUUUCACUAACAUUCACCCUGAGGGGUUUCCACAUUAGUGCAAUCAUGUUGAAAGUUGCCGAAACACACAGGCUUUAUCAAAUUAAAACCAUGGACUUUAAGUUGGAAGCAUUUGUGGUAAACCCUACAUGGGAGAUGUUUGAUAAAUGUACAAAGGUGAAUCUGCUUGUCAUUGCAAAGCAUAUUGACAUCAAGGUCGCAGCUGGCGAUCCAAAGCUGUAGUCAAAGAGUUGAUCUGUACUGCCUUGGUGGAGGAGGAAAUCCUUCCGGAGAGGGAUGUUGAUGAAAAGGGUCCCAUGGGUCCCAUUAAACUGAAUGAGUGAGUCCCGUAGACAUGCAACUGCGAGAGUUAUAACUAAAGGCAAAGUUGGAGCAACAGAAAUUUGAACUUGAGCACAAGGAAAGAGAACUUGAGUGUUACAGAUUCACAGAGACUUGUUGUGCCAUUAAACUGAAUGUCUUUCCUUCAGAUCAACAUGUUAACAACUCGUACAAAACUCACUCAUCGAGCCCUCACACCUCCAUUCACACACAAUGUGUCUGAAACAUUCUUAAAGCAACAGUAUUCUAUACUCAACUGAGCUACAACACCAUAUUACUCCCCCAAACCUCGCCGCUUUAGUUUACAUAGCCUUUAAGCCACGAGGGAGG